GCAUAUCAAUAAGCGGAGGAAAAGAAACCAACAGGGAUUGCCCCCAGUAACGGCGAGUGAAGCGGCAAGAGCUCAAAUUUGAAAAGCUGGCUCCUUCGGGGUCCGCAUUGUAAUUUGUAGAGGAUGCUUUCGGGAGCGGUCCCAUCUAAGUGCCCUGGAACGGGACGUCAUAGAGGGUGAGAAUCCCGUAUGGGAUGGGGUGUCCGCGCCCGUGUGAAGCUCCUUCGACGAGUCGAGUUGUUUGGGAAUGCAGCUCUAAAUGGGUGGUAAAUUUCAUCUAAAGCUAAAUAUUGGCCGGAGACCGAUAGCGCACAAGUAGAGUGAUCGAAAGAUGAAAAGCACUUUGAAAAGAGAGUUAAAAAGCACGUGAAAUUGUUGAAAGGGAAGCGCUUGCGACCAGACUCGCUCGCGGGGUUCAGCCGGCAUUCGUGCCGGUGUACUUCCCCGCGGGCGGGCCAGCGUCGGUUUGGGCGGUCGGUCAAAGGCCCUCGGAAGGUAACGCCCCUAGGGGCGUCUUAUAGCCGAGGGUGCAAUGCGACCUGCCUAGACCGAGGAAACGCGCUUCGGCUCGGACGCUGGCAUAAUGGUCGUAAACGACCCGUCUUGAAACACGGACCAAGGAGUCUAACAUCUACGCGAGUGUUCGGGUGUCAAACCCGUGCGCGAAGUGAAAGCGAACGGAGGUGGGAACCCUCACGGGUGCACCAUCGACCGAUCCUGAAGUCUUCGGAUGGAUUUGAGUAAGAGCGUAGCUGUUGGGACCCGAAAAGAUGGUGAACUAUGCCUGAAAUAGGGGCGAAAGCCAGAGGAAAACUCUGGUGGAGGCUCGUAGCGGUUUCUGACGUGCAAAUCGAUUCGUCGAAUUUGGGUAUAGGGGCGAAAGACUAAUCGAACCAUCUGGUAGCUGGGUCUGCG
rnacentral:rRNA from 1 species